rnacentral:rRNA from 1 species
UACGUAGGGUGCGAGCGUUGUCCGGAAUUAUUGGGCGUAAAGAGCUUGUAGGCGGUUUGUCGCGUCUGCCGUGAAAAUCCGGGGCUCAACCCCGGACUUGCGGUGGGUACGGGCAGACUAGAGUGUGGUAGGGGAGACUGGAAUUCCUGGUGUAGCGGUGAAAUGCGCAGAUAUCAGGAGGAACACCGGUGGCGAAGGCGGGUCUCUGGGCCGUAACUGACGCUGAGGAGCGAAAGCAUGGGUAGCGAACAGG